GAUGAACGCUGGCGGCGUGCCUAAUACAUGCAAGUCGAGCGAACGGACGAGAAGCUUGCUUCUCUGAUGUUAGCGGCGGACGGGUGAGUAACACGUGGAUAACCUACCUAUAAGACUGGGAUAACUUCGGGAAACCGGAGCUAAUACCGGAUAAUAUUUUGAACCGCAUGGUUCAAAAGUGAAAGACGGUCUUGCUGUCACUUAUAGAUGGAUCCGCGCUGCAUUAGCUAGUUGGUAAGGUAACGGCUUACCAAGGCAACGAUGCAUAGCCGACCUGAGAGGGUGAUCGGCCACACUGGAACUGAGACACGGUCCAGACUCCUACGGGAGGCAGCAGUAGGGAAUCUUACGCAAUGGGCGAAAGCCUGGCGGAGCAAAGCCGCGGGAGUGAUGAAAGUCUUCGGAUCGGAAAACUCUGUUAUUUGGGAAGAACAUAUGUGUAAGUAACUGUGCACAUCUUGACGGUACCUAAUCAAAAAGCCACGGCUAACUACGUG
rnacentral:rRNA from 1 species